rnacentral:rRNA from 1 species
GGAUGGGUAACCUCCUGGGAAGUCCAUGGGCGAGAGUAGUACUAGGAUGGGUGACCCCCUGGGAAGUCCUUGUGUUGCAUCCC